UUGGAGGGCAAGUCUGGUGCCAGCAGCCGCGGUAAUUCCAGCUCCAAUAGCGUAUAUUUAAGUUGUUGCAGUUAAAAAGCUCGUAGUUGGACUUUGGGUUUGGUCAUGCCUCUGGUAUGUACUGGUCUCACUGAUUCCUCCUUCCUGAUGAACCUUAAUGCCAUUAAUUUGGUGUUUUGGGGAAUUUGGACUGUUACUUUGAAAAAAUUAGAGUGUUUAAAGCAAGCUAACGCUUGAAUACAUUAGCAUGGAAUAAUGAAAUAGGACGUUUGAUUCUAUUUUGUUGGUUUCUAGGAUCGACGUAAUGAUUAAUAGGGAUAGUUGGGGGCAUUAGUAUUCAAUUGUCAGAGGUGAAAUUCUUGGAUUUAUUGAAGACUAACUACUGCGAAAGCAUUUGCCAAGGAUGUUUUCAUUAAUCAAGAACGAAAGUUAGGGGGAUCGAAGACGAUCAGAUACCGUCGUAGUCUUAACCAUAAACUAUGCCGACUAGGGAUCGGAUGAUGUUAAUUUUUAAUGACUCAUUCGGCGCCUUACGGGAAACCAAAGUGUUU
rnacentral:rRNA from 1 species